rnacentral:rRNA from 1 species
AUUGAACGCUGGCGGCAGGCCUAACACAUGCAAGUCGAGCGGAUGACGGGAGCUUGCUCCUUGAUUCAGCGGCGGACGGGUGAGUAAUGCCUAGGAAUCUGCCUGGUAGUGGGGGACAACGUUUCGAAAGGAACGCUAAUACCGCAUACGUCCUACGGGAGAAAGCAGGGGACCUUCGGGCCUUGCGCUAUCAGAUGAGCCUAGGUCGGAUUAGCUUGUUGGUGAGGUCAUGGCUCACCAAGGCGACGAUCCGUAACUGGUCUGAGAGGAUGAUAAGUCACACUGGAACUGAGACACGGUCCAGACUCCUACGGGAGGCAGCAGUGGGGAAUAUUGGACAAUGGGCCAAAGCCUGACCCAGCCAUGCCGCGUGUGUGAAGAAGGUCUUCGGAUUGUAAAGCACUUUAAGUUGGGAGGAAGGGUUGUAGAUUAAUACGCUGCAAUUUUGACGUUACCGACAGAAUAAGCACCGGCUAACUCUGUG